rnacentral:rRNA from 1 species
CCUACGGGAGGCAGCAGUAAGGGAUAUUGCACAAUGGACGGAAGUCUGAUGCAGCGACGCCGCGUGGGUGAAGAAGGUUUUCGGAUCGUAAAGCCCUUUUCUAUGUGACGAGGAAGGACGGUAGCAUAGGAAUAAGUGUCGGCUAACUACGUGCCAGCAGCCGCGGUAAAACGUAGGACACGAACGUUAUCCGGAGUUACUGGGCGUAAAGAGCGCGUAGGCGGUUGGUUAAGUUGCCUAUGAAAGGUACCGGCUAAACUGGUAUAAGUUGGGCGAAACUGGCUAACUAGAGAGAAAUAGAGGGAAGUAGAAUUCCGGGUGUAGUGGUGAAAUGCGUAGAUAUCCGGAGGAAUACCGGUGGCGAAGGCGGCUUCCUGGAUUUCCACUGACGCUGAAGCGCGAAGGCGUGGGUAGCGAACGGGAUUAGAAACCCCGGUAGUCCACGCCGUAAACGAUGUACAUUAGGCGUUCGGCAACGAUGGUUGUUGAGUGUCGCAGCAAACGCGAUAAAUGUACCGCCUGGGGAGUACGGUCGCAAGGCUAAAACUCAAAGGAAUUGACGG